rnacentral:snoRNA from 1 species
CCACAUUGGAUGAUGCACUUACUCAAAGGCGCUGCAAAAUCUCCUACAAGAUUGCAUUUCCUGCAAAUGCUAGAAAGAGCGACCUCAUAAAUUUAUUGGUCAGCGUUAGUUAUAUGGAGUCUCGUGUUAUCAUCCUCCAUACUGGUGCUGGACCUGGACUCAAGAUUUUCUCUCUGGCGAACCAACUAAGCAUGAUGGGCAAUGGC